rnacentral:rRNA from 1 species
AUUGAACGCUGGCGGCAUGCCUAACACAUGCAAGUCGAACGGAAACGAUGGAAGCUUGCUUCCAGGCGUCGAGUGGCGGACGGGUGAGUAAUGCAUAGGAAUCUACCUAGUAGUGGGGGACAACACGGGGAAACUCGUGCUAAUACCGCAUACGACCUACGGGUGAAAGUGGGGGAUCUUCGGACCUCACGCUAUUGGAUGAGCCUAUGUCUGAUUAGCUUGUUGGUGGGGUAAAAGCCUACCAAGGCGACGAUCAGUAGCUGGUCUGAGAGGACGACCAGCCACACUGGGACUGAGACACGGCCCAG